rnacentral:rRNA from 1 species
GACGAACGCUGGCGGCGUGCCUAAUACAUGCAAGUUGAGCGCUGAUGGUUGGUACUUGUACCGCCUGGAUGAGCAGCGAACGGGUGAGUAACGCGUGGGGAAUCUGCCUUUGAGCGGGGAACAACAUUUGGAAACGAAUGCUAAUACCGCAUAAAAACUUUAAACACAAUUUUUCAGUUUGCAAGAUGCAAUUGCAUCACUCAAAGAUGAUCCCGCGUUGUAUUAGCUAGUUGGUGAGGUAAAGGCUCACCAAGGCGAUGAUACAUAGCCGACCUGAGAGGGUGAUCGGCCACAUUGGGACUGAGACACGGCCCAAACUCCUACGGGAGGCAGCAGUAGGGAAUCUUCGGCAAUGGACGGAAGUCUGACCGAGCAACGCCGCGUGAGUGAAGAAGGUUUUCGGAUCGUAAAACUCUGUUGGUAGAGAAGAACGUUGGUGAGAGUGGAAAGCUCAUCAAGUGACGGUAACUACCCAGAAAGGGACGGCUAACUACGUG